AGACCCGAAACCCGGUGAUCUAGCCAUGGGCAGGUUGAAGGUUGGGUAACACUAACUGGAGGACCGAACCGACUAAUGUUGAAAAAUUAGCGGAUGACCUGUGGCUGGGGGUGAAAGGCCAAUCAAACCGGGAGAUAGCUGGUUCUCCCCGAAAGCUAUUUAGGUAGCGCCUCGUGAAUUCAUCUCCGGGGGUAGAGCACUGUUUCGGCUAGGGGGCCAUCCCGGCUUACCAACCCGAUGCAAACUGCGAAUACCGGAGAAUGUUAUCACGGGAGACACACGGCGGGUGCUAACGUCCGUCGUGAAGAGGGAAACAACCCAGACCGCCAGCUAAGGUCCCAAAGUCAUGGUUAAGUGGGAAACGAUGUGGGAAGGCCCAGACAGCCAGGAUGUUGGCUUAGAAGCAGCCAUCAUUUAAAGAAAGCGUAAUAGCUCACUGGUCGAGUCGGCCUGCGCGGAAGAUGUAACGGGGCUAAACCAUGCACCGAAGCUGCGGCAGCGACGCUGAUGCGUUGUUGGGUAGGGGAGCGUUCUGUAAGCCUGUGAAGGUGGCCUGUGAGGGUUGCUGGAGGUAUCAGAAGUGCGAAUGCUGACAUAAGUAACGAUAAAGCGGGUGAAAAGCCCGCUCGCCGGAAGACCAAGGGUUCCUGUCCAACGUUAAUCGGGGCAGGGUGAGUCGACCCCUAAGGCGAGGCCGAAAGGCGUAGUCGAUGGGAAACGGGUUAAUAUUCCCGUACUUGGUGUUACUGCGAAGGGGGGACGGAGAAGGCUAUGUUGGCCGGGCGACGGUUGUCCCGGUUUAAGCGUGUAGGUGUGUGUUCCAGGUAAAUCCGGUUCACUUUAACACUGAGGCGUGAUGACGAGGCACUACGGUGCUGAAGCAACAAAUGCCCUGCUUCCAGGAAAAGCCUCUAAGCAUCAGGUAACAUCAAAUCGUACCCCAAACCGACACAGGUGGUCAGGUAGAGAAUACCAAGGCGCUUGAGAGAACUCGGGUGAAGGAACUAGGCAAAAUGGUGCCGUAACUUCGGGAGAAGGCACGCUGACACGUAGGUGAAGUGAUUUACUCAUGGAGCUGAAGUCAGUCGAAGAUACCAGCUGGCUGCAACUGUUUAUUAAAAACACAGCACUGUGCAAACACGAAAGUGGACGUAUACGGUGUGACGCCUGCCCGGUGCCGGAAGGUUAAUUGAUGGGGUCAGCGCAAGCGAAGCUCCUGAUCGAAGCCCCGGUAAACGGCGGCCGUAACUAUAACGGUCCUAAGGUAGCGAAAUUCCUUGUCGGGUAAGUUCCGACCUGCACGAAUGGCGUAAUGAUGGCCAGGCUGUCUCCACCCGAGACUCAGUGAAAUUGAACUCGCUGUGAAGAUGCAGUGUACCCGCGGCAAGACGGAAAGACCCCGUGAACCUUUACUAUAGCUUGACACUGAACAUUGAGCCUUGAUGUGUAGGAUAGGUGGGAGGCUUUGAAGUGUGGACGCCAGUCUGCAUGGAGCCGGCCUUGAAAUACCACCCUUUAAUGUUUGAUGUUCUAACGUGGACCCGUGAUCCGGGUUGCGGACAGUGUCUGGUGGGUAGUUUGACUGGGGCGGUCUCCUCCUAAAGAGUAACGGAGGAGCACGAAGGUUGGCUAAUCCUGGUCGGACAUCAGGAGGUUAGUGCAAUGGCAUAAGCCAGCUUGACUGCGAGCGUGACGGCGCGAGCAGGUGCGAAAGCAGGUCAUAGUGAUCCGGUGGUUCUGAAUGGAAGGGCCAUCGCUCAACGGAUAAAAGGUACUCCGGGGAUAACAGGCUGAUACCGCCCAAGAGUUCAUAUCGACGGCGGUGUUUGGCACCUCGAUGUCGGCUCAUCACAUCCUGGGGCUGAAGUAGGUCCCAAGGGUAUGGCUGUUCGCCAUUUAAAGUGGUACGCGAGCUGGGUUUAGAACGUCGUGAGACAGUUCGGUCCCUAUCUGCCGUGGGCGCUGGAGAACUGAGGGGGGCUGCUCCUAGUACGAGAGGACCGGAGUGGACGCAUCACUGGUGUUCGGGUUGUCAUGCCAAUGGCACUGCCCGGUAGCUAAAUGCGGAAGAGAUAAGUGCUGAAAGCAUCUAAGCACGAAACUUGCCCCGAGAUGAGUUCUCCCUGAGACUUA
rnacentral:rRNA from 1 species